rnacentral:lncRNA from 1 species
CUGAUUUAUUUACUUUAUAUUAUUUAAAAUAUCUGAGUGCAUAUUGUUUCAUAUAUUCAUCUUUUUCACUGCAUUAUUAUGUGUCAUCAAUUCUAUAACAAAAUAUUUGGGGACAAACCAAUGAUCACUUUAGCUCUGCGGGAAACAACAGAAGUUUAUUUAACACUCUUAGCAUAUUGUUAUUACAAUGUACUAUAACAUAUAAAAUACAUAAUUUACUAUUCUUUUUUUUAAUUUAUGAAAGCAAAUACCGGGUAGACUUGAACGUACAAUUCAAA